CAUAAAAUGAUUUAGAAAUUCUCUUCAAGGGAGUAUCCAUAAAUCCAAAUAGAAAGAUUUGAACUUGAGAGAGUGGGAUUCUUAGAACUGUCUACAAUCAUUAUGAUUUUAGAAAAUUUCAUAAUAAUGUCCUUUCCUCAGUGUAUUUUCAGUAAAAGUUAGAUGUCACAGAGGUAGACAAUGUACUUGAAGACUUUUUAAGUUUAAUACUGAAGAAAAAGUAAUUUUGGACAUUAUUUUAUAUGAACAAGUUACCCAUUCACCUCGACUUUAGACAAACCAUGCCUAAUAGCUAGAGUCCCAGCUGAUGUAGUGUGCUGUAAUCCUAACCUGUUUUCCUUCAGCUGAGACCUCAGCUCUGAAACUGUAGUGUUCAAGACAAUUUCUGUUACCACCCCUAUUUUAUUAAAUGCCUGGAGGUUUUAACGCUUUAUUUGCAGACAUUUAAUACAGGUUGAAUCUGAAUGUUAUUUUUUUAACGGAGAGUCAUUGUUUUAAAUGAGUCAUACAUUGAAACUAUCUACCAGGAGUCCAAGUAUUAAUUAAAAAGAAUAUGCCAAAGUCAGUGGCAGAAAAAUACCAUAAUGAUGAACAAUUAUUGAAGGAUAAGAUCCUUUUCUGGCAGAAAAUACAUUCCUUGGAUUUUCUUGUCAAUGCCUAAGAGCUGCCAUAGUUAGCUGUUGGCAAUUUAAUCUCAAAUUGCAGGAGGCUUGCCAGACAGAAUUUUUAAAACUUCAGGAUUCAGAGACUUUGUACUGGAUAUGCAUCUAAAUUAAACCUAUUGGAACCUUUUACCAAAUCUUAACUGUAGAAAAUUCAGGAAAAGGCAAGAUCGUUUAUUUACCCUACAAUUUAGGAUGGUAAAACUAUUAUUUUGAAAUUAAAAUCCUUUAAUGAAUAUUUGUCACCAUUUCCCCUACACACAGACCCCAAAAUAGCUUUAGCAUUCCUUGGCACCAAGCAUCUCCCUUAUUUUAGUAGAUGAUCAUAUUUUCAUGUCAAAACAACUUGAGGAAGAAAGAACAGUACGUCCUAUGAAGUGUGUCAAAUGCAGUUCCAGUCAACAAUUCAAAUUGCAACAACCUUAUAUUAUGCUUCUUAAAACAGGUGCUUCUUUGAGCAAGUUAUUUCCCAUUAGACUAUGGAGGGGGACUUCUCAAUUGUUUUCUACGUAGUUGUGAGCACCAUCAUUGAAUUAAUCUGCCAUAUCUGCCUGAAGGCUUCCUACCAAUGCCUAGAUCCUAAUUCUGGAGUUGUAUAAAUAAGCCAUCAAGUAUUUGAAUUACUAUAGAUAUGCCUUGUUUCUGAAGGAUCAAGUUCUUUUCCCAUUUAAUGGCAAAUCUUGCCUUCAUGGGAUAAAAGCCAUAGUGUCUCUAUCAACAGUGGUAAAGGCCAUUACAGGCUAUUAGGUAGAAAUAGAUGAAGGGUGCAGUUCAAGACCAAACAUUUCCUUUGACUACUUUAUUUUGUAGUUGAAUAUUGUUCAAUAGGCAUCUGAGUGUAUCCUAUUCAGAUCGUUUUACAAUUUAGAGAGCACCCAUUUUGCAAAAGAUUGUAAAUAAUGGGAUCCAUCAUUCAGAUAAUGAUGUAACUUGUCACUUUACCUCAUGGACACCAGCAUUCCCACCUUUCCUUCUGAGGCUUUUGAAAACACUGUUUUGCUCUGAAAAAAUUCCUGUUCUGAAGAGGACACAAAGUUUCAUUGUUUUGUCCUAUGAGAUUAACUCAGUUUACAAACAGUGACCUCAGACUGCUAAGCUCUAGGACAUUGUGGGAAUUAGGUAGUUCUGAUGAACUAAUCAUUAAAGGUAACUUUUACACCUUUCCUAUAUCAUAACUGUCGAUAAGGACUCCGUCAAAAAAUUUUAGAUGACAACAUUCUUGAUGAUGGAUUACCAUUUAGAUAACAUACCUGUUGCUAUCUUGACUUUGGAAGCUCAAUAAAAGUGAAAGGUUCCUUCAUAUGACAGAGUGCAGGACGGAUCUACUGCAGACAGGUAGUCUGACUUUAAGAAGAAGAGGCUUACUUUUCUGUAAGGACCUCAUGGUCUUACCGGGCAGCAAAGUGCACUUGAGGAAACUGUGUGCCCUGACAGCAGCAAUGGCCAACAGCAUCCAGGGCUGUAUUCACAGGAGGGGAAAUAGGAGAGCAACGGAAGUGAAUAACCCCUCUACUCAGUGCGCUUGUCAGACCAUAUCUAGAUCCUGAAUCCAUUUCUGGACCCCCACCCCCCCCCCCCCCCCCCCCAAUACAGGAAAGAUGGAUAAACUACAGCUAGUUCAGCAGAGAGCCACCAAGAGCUGAGGGAGCUAGGCUUGUUCAGCCUCGAGAAGGUACAGCUUUUGGGGGACCUAAUAGCAGCCUGCCAGUACCUCCAAGGAAGUCAUUAAGAAAAUGGAGCCAGGCUGUUUGUUCACUGGUGCAUGAGGGCAGGACAAGAAAGCAAGGACAUUAAGUUGAAGCAAGAGAGGUUCAGACUGAAUAUAAGGAGAAAUCAUGAGAGCAGUCAAGCAGUGGAACAGCUUGCCCAGGGAGCUUGAGCUAUCUCCAGCCUUGGAGGUUUUCGAGACGUUGAGUCAACAAAGCCCUGAGUAACCAGUUGCAUUGGGUUUUCAUGGCAAGGUUUUGGUAGCAGGGUGGCUACAGGGGUGGCUUCUGUUAGAAGCUGCUAGAAGCUUCCCCUGUGUCCCAUAGAGCCAAUGCCAGCUGGCUUCAAGACAGACCUGGCGGUGGUAAGGCUGAGCCCAUCAGAGGUGGUAGUGCCUCUGGGAUAACAUAGUUAAGAAGGGGAAAAAAAACCUGCCCCAGAGCAGCAGCUGGAAGAGAGGAGUGAGAAUAUGUGAAAGGAACAACUCUGCAGACACCAAGAUCAGUGAAGAAGAAUGGGGAGGAGGUGCUCCAGGCGCCGGAGCAGAGAUUCCCCUGCAGCCCAUGGAGAAGACCAUGGUGAGGCAGGCUGUCCCCCUGCAGCACGUGGAGGUUGAUGGAGCAGAUAUCCACCUGCAGCCCAUGGAGCACCCCAAGCUGGAGCAGGUGGAGACACCUGAAGGAGGCUGUGACCCCAUGGGAAGCCCGUGCUGGAGCAGGUUUGCUGGCAGGACUUGUGACCUCGUGGGGGACCCAUGCUGGAGCAGUCUGUUCCUGAAAGUCUGCACCCCGUGAGAGGGACUCCAUGCUGGAGCAGUUUGUGAAGAACUGCAGCCCACAGGAAGGACUCGCGUUGGAGAAGUUGAUGGAGGACUGUCUUCUGUGGGAGGGACCCCAUGCUGGAGCAGGGGAAGAGUGUGAGGAGUCCUCCCCCUGAGGAUGAAGAAGCGGCAGAGACAACGUGUGAUGAACUGACCGUAACCCCCCUUCCCCGUCCCCCUGUGCCGCUGAGGGGGGGAGGUUGAAGCCGGGAGUGAAGUUGAGCCUGGACAUGCUGCCUGUUGGAAAGUGUGAUGGAAAUUCAUAAUUCCUCUAUCCUGUUUUGUGCCUGGUUCCUCUGAAGAUAAGCAACACUGGCAGAAAAGUUCAGAUGGCACUCAAGAAGAACAUAGGUUCAGCACUUACGGUCUUCCCAAAAAGGAGCAAGGAGAGCAGCGGGCUCUAACCACAUCCCAUAAUGUCAGCCUGUCCAAGGCUUUGUCCACUGAUGAGGGCAAUGUGACUGCAACAUGAAGAGGGGUGGAUGAGCUAGCUUUCUUUGAGUCAGCCUGGAUAAAAGUAACAAUGAAGACAUGAUGGCGCAGGCUCUAGUCACCCAAGUAAAUGCUCAGGCAAAUGUGUAUUAUAGUGCUGAAGUCCAUGCCUUAUUGUCAUCAGUUCUACUGUUAUUCUACCCAGGUAGAAAAAAACUAGUUAAAAAUUAGCAUAACUGUGCAUAACUGUAAACAUAACCACAUCCAUAUGUAGCAACUUAAGUAGAACACAAUGAAAUACAACGUAAUUGGUUAUUUUCUUGUUAUUCUUCGUUCCAUAAUAAUAGUAGAAGUUAAUAUUUGGAUGAAUGACAGCACCAGCAAUUCUGACUCUUUAUUAGGCUAAGUUAUUAUUAUUAUUAUUAGGCUAAGACAUAUUC